rnacentral:misc_RNA from 1 species
UCCGAGAAUCGGUCGUAGACUAUUUUUUAAACCCCUAAAUUAUAAGGGUUGCCCAUCCCAAAAUAUAAACCCCUAAGUUAUAAAGGUCACCCUAAAAUAUAUUUUUUAAUUUUUUGACCAGAAUUUUAAUUUUUUUUAUGAUUAUGAUUUGGUAUUGAAAAAUACGUACAACCCUAAAUUUUCCUUCUACCAUCAACCCCUAUUUUUAAAUAGCGUCUAGCGGCAAAACAACGUUUGCCGGGUCAGCUAGUAUAUACACAUAUUUCUGUAAAUAUUAUUCUGUUAGAAAUUCUGACAUACGAUAACUUGACUAAAGAAUAUAUUUUAACAGAAACUUCUGGUAAAUUACAGUGAGUUGUAAUCCGAAUUUAUUAAUAAACUAAGGGCCUGCUUCACCAGUUGUUGAUAACGCUAUUUGACGGAUGACAGUAUCCGACAGUAAAAAUUUCUUGAUCCAUUAUUCUUUCUUACUAUCGAAUUAUACUGUAUUUAUGAUUUUUGAGAUAUUUCGAACUUUUAAUUUCUUAAUUGAGGUGAAACAUCCUAAUGGUCAUUCCAUCUGCUGUUAAAGUUUAAUCGUAACUUAUUUGCAGGAUAACCUUUAUCCAUAACUGUUGAAACAGGCCGUAGGCCAUAAAAAGUUACACAUUUUAAAUAGUAGUUGUUUUUUUUAUAUUGAAUCGAUUUUCUUAAAUGUCUAGUAAUUAACAUUUUUAUGUCUGACACAUGUAUAUUUGAGGGUUUUGUGUGUGAUAUGCGUUUGAAAUAUUUUAGUAUUUGCAUUGUAUUAAUUUUCUAUAAAUAAAUAAUUUUAUUGGAAUUUAUUUUAUUGAGAUAUUAUGAAAAUAUGUAAAAAAUACUCCAAAACUAAAUUUAUUUAUAAAUUCAUUAAAAUUAAAUCGUUUUUGUUACUUAUACAAGUGCUAGCGCACUAAAUCAAUCCACACACACACUUCAUACCAUUUAUAAGAUACAUACAGAACAUCAGUCAUUAGAAGCAGUCCAAGUACAGCUGUAAGCCCAUCUCGUGUCUAGACUACUGCUUCUGUUAGACUAGUUCUUCGUAUAAAGGUUAACUAGCUGCGGCUCGCGGCUUUACCUUCUUAGUUUUACGCUAUUCGAAUAUAAAAAGUAAAAUCAAUCGUUAUCAGGUACCAGGAUAACAUAACAUAAUAGGAUCAUCUCCAGCUGUCAUCUGUUCUGUAUAUAACUUAUAAAUGAUAUGUAGUGUGUGUGUGUGUGUGUGUGGUUUAAUUUAAUGUAUAUAUUCUAGUAUAUAAUGAGUUACCGUGUAGUAAAUAAAAAAGGGAUACAAUUGAUCUUUCAAUUUUUAAAUUAUAUAUAAUCAACUGCGUCCAAAACAAGGAAAAUGUGUUUAGAGUUUGUUUUUUUUUUACUUUGUGAGUUUGUUUUAUAUAUAUAUAUAUAUAUAUAUAUAUAUAUAUACAAUAUUUGCAUAAUAAAGUUUGUUAAUUCAAAGAUAUAUUAUUGCAAUGAUAUUUGUGCCAAAUAUUGAUUAACACUUUAACAGAUAUCUUUAAAGUUUUUAUUUUAGAUAUUUUUAAUUAUUUUUAUUUCAUAUUUAUACGUUAAUACGUAAAAAUGUCGUUUACUUUGUUUUAAAGUAAUAAAUAAUAUUGUUAAACGUAAAAACGAGUAUAUGAAUGAUUUGUUGUUAUUAAAAUUAAUAAUUUUCAUUUAGCACUUGUAAUAUUCUUAUUCUAUCGAUAUAUAUAAAAAUGUAUGUUUGUCUGUAUGUCCUUUAUAGAAUCGUAUCGUAUCGUGUAUAGUUAUACAUUUGAUAAUGUCAUGCUCUUCAGCGAAGUGUUGUGCAUGAGCCCACAAAGGUUUCUGAGUUGAUACAACCAAAAAAAAAUACCGUAGCAACGCGCAGACUAUAAAGCGUGAAGAAAUAGCGGCUCAUAAAAUUAAAUAUUUUGAAUAUAUUAACAUAAUUUACAGUUAAUUGAUUAUAAAAAAAAAAAACGAAACAAAAUUUUUAUGAAGAAGUAUUAAUUUGCUGAGAAUGUAUUAUCAAGUAAUUUAAAUUUUUAUAUUUAAUUUCAUUAUUAUAAUUCUAGUUUUGAACGUACCUUUUUUUAUAUAUAAAUAA